UUGAUCUAACACAACCUAACUUCCCAGGGGUACCUCUUGCCACCUAUGCCCUUGCACUCUAUGACACACCAGACACAUUGUAAUGACUGCAGUUUCUCAGCACACCUUUCUCUAUUACACACCCAUGCUGCUCCUGGCCUCUGGGACUUGGCACAAGCUUUUCCUUCUCUGGGAUUCCUCAUUUGUUCUAUGUACCAUACUCAAUCCUGCCUUCCCUCUUCCCCUAGAUAAUUCCUAAUUUUCCUUUAUUCCUUAGUUUAAAUGUCACUUCCAGUUGAAAAUAGGGAAAACAGGAAUCCCUGGGUGGGAAAAGACCAUACAUGAGGAAAGAGGCUGAUACAGUGGGCCUGAAGCUAGAUGAGAUUGGUGGUUCCAGGUCCAGUAAGAGGUUCUAACUGAAAGCCACAUUUAACAGUCUGAGAAAAGGAAGGCAGUGUGAUAAAGAAUGAAAUAAUUCUGUUACUAGGGUCGCAUGUCACAAUGCUAUGGGACUACCAUGAAGGCAGUCCAGACAAGAAGAAAAUGCUUCACCAAGAACUGGGAAGAGAGGAGCACCUGAGAUCUGGAAGCAGGAAAAAUGGCAAAAGUCCCCAAGUGAUGGUGGAAACGCUCGAAGAGGUCUUACAGAAAGAGGGUGGUUAGCCAGAGAGAUAAGCUUAUCAAAAUAGAUGAGUGCAAAUGCUGAUAUAGGAACAGAGAUCUGGAGACAGUGGCCAUAGAGGAAGCUAAAAAACCAUCAGGUAAUAUAACAUGUACGUGUUUCCUACAGUGGCAGUAGCAUAGGAGAAAGGUACAGGCAGCUUUAAAGCAACAAACAAAACAACAGUAGACAAUGACCAGGAAAUAUGGUGAGAAGAGUCAUCGGAAGAAAAGAAAGGCAAAACUGCCAAGCAAACAAAUGAUUCUCCUCAUUCAUUGAUUCAACAAACACUUCCUAAGCUCCUCAAGGGGCCAGGGCCCAAGGCAGGCAUGAAGUAGCACUGAGCACACAGACAAGCAGGACACAGGCUGGGAAAUAUCAAUUAAGUUAAGCGCAGAGCAUCAUAAGGACCUUACUUUUCAAAAUCCAUGCUGGUGAACUUGACCUCUUUGAUACUUUAGGAUUGAUAUUACAAUCUCAAGAGGUAUCACGGAAUAUUGAGGUUUGUUCUGCAUUUGGUUAUUCAAAGCUUUGAUUUUUUAAAUGUAUAGAGAUACUCUGUGCUGGAUAUUAAACACAUGUCUAUUUCUUUUUCCUCUCCAACAAGGGAAAUAGAAGAAAAAUUAUCUUGAAUGAGGGAUGUAAAUCAUGCUUGAGUGCUACAAGGCACUCAGGGUACCUGGCCAGAGGAAGUAGGCAGACAACUUUGUCCAGCCACAAUGGACAAAGAAGAGAUGGAGUGGUGUGGGGAAAUCAGGUUCUGGGCCUGUAAAGUGUGGAGACAUAGGCUCACUGUGCCUAUGAGUCUCACUGAGUUCUGAGACUUGUUUGAGACUUGGCAGGUGACAGUGGGAAAGUAUUCCUACAAGUAGGAUCAUACUGGUGGCAGUGCAGUAGUUAGAACAGAGGACCCAGUGUAGCACCUUCUCAGCUAGAGGCCGACCCAGGCCCUCCUCCAUAGUAAGAGCAGGAGAUUCUGCUUCAUGAAGUCCUUAGUCACUGCUCUGGAUCUUGAUCCUGAGCCAAGUUGUGACUCUGCCACCAGUUCUCUAUGACUUAGCUGCAAAGCAUGACAUCACUUAUGAUUCCUGAUUGUGGCAUAUUGAUGUAGUUUGAGCUGCUGAGGGGAAAAGGAAUGUGGACACUCCUGUUAUACCCAAUUAUGUAUCAUGAAAAGUCAUACAGCUUCUGUUGGAAGUCGAGCUUUUGAUAAACAGACGGCAGGUGCCUAAAUGACAUUCCUUGAUGACACUUGAAAAGGUCAUAACAAUCUCUCUGAACUCUGAAAUUCUAGGUUUUGUAUAAAGAGAUUUGACUAUUCUGUUUUUACUUGUAAUGAACAGUAUAUGACAGGUAAACUUUAGGGCAUACAAUAACUUCAUUUCAAUUCUGUAGCACAGUGGAAUAUUUGAAAAAUACUUUAUUGAGAUAAAAUUUAUAAAACAAAACUAACCAUUUUAAAGUGAACAAUCAGUGGCAUUUAGUAGGUUCACAUUUUUGUGCAAUCAUGACCUCUAUCAAGUUCCAAAACACUUCCAUUAUUCCCCCUUAUUCAUUAAGCAGUUUUUCCCCAUUCACCCCUGCUCCCUAACCCCUGGCAACCACCAA
rnacentral:lncRNA from 1 species